rnacentral:ncRNA from 1 species
GGAUAAAAGUUACUCUAGGGAUAACAGGCUGAUCUUCCCCAAGAGUCCACAUCGACGGGAAGGUUUGGCACCUCGAUGUCGGCUCUUCGCCACCUGGAGCUGUAGGUGGUUCCAAGGGUUGGGCUGUUCGCCCAUUAAUGCGGUACGUGAGCUGGGUUCAGAACGUCAUGAGACAGUUCGGUCCAUAUCCGGUGUGGGCAUUAGAGCAUUGAGAGGACCUUUCCCUAGUACAAGAGGACCGGGAAGGACGCACCUCUGGUGUACCAGUAAUCGUGCCUACGGUAAACGCUGGGUAGCCAAGUGCGGAGAGGAUAACUGCUGAAAGCAUAUAAGUAGUAAUCCCACCCCAAGAUGAGUGCUCUCUCCUCCGACUUCCCUAGAGCCUCCGGUAUCACAGCCGAGACAGCGACGGGUUCUCCACCCAUAUGGGGAUGGAGCGACAGAAGUAUGGAAAUAGGAUAAGGUAGCGGCGAGACGAGCCGUUUAAAUAGGUGUCAAGUGGAAGUGCAGUGAUGUAUGCAGCUGAGGCAUCCUAACGAACGAACGAUUUGAACCU